GGUUCGAUAUGGCUCCGUUGAACGCUGGCGGGAUUCGCUUUACAUGCAAAGUCGAACGGCGGCACCGAGACUUCGGUCUGGUGGCAGGUGGCGACGGGUGAAGGUAGCUGUAUCGGAACGUGCCUAGUAGCGAGGAUAACUACGCGGCGUAGCUAAUACCACCUGCCGGCUAGGAAAGCGGGGCCUUCGGGCCUCGCACUAUUAGAGCGGCCGAUAUCGGAUUAGCUAGUUGGUGGGAGUAACGGCUCACCAGGCGGCGAUCCGUAGCUGGUUUUUGAAGGACGACCAGCCACUGGGACUGAGACACGGCCCCGGAGCUCCUGCGGGAGGCAGCAGUGGGGAAUUUUGGACAAUGGGGAAACCUGAUCCAGCCAUCCCACUGGUAGCCGCGAUGAAAUUUCGGGUUUGUAAAGCGCUUUUGGCGGGAAAAACAGCACCGGGAUAAUGCCCCGUGCAACUGACGGUACUGCAGAACAGAAAGCACCGGCUAACUACGUGCCAGCAUACUGAUAAUGUAAGUGCAGCGUUAAUCGGAACUACUGGGCGUAAAGCGUGCGCAGGCGGUUCGGAAGAAAAAGAUGUGAAAUCCCAGGCUUAACUUUGGAACUGCAUUUUUAACUGAGGCUGAAAUUGUGUCAGGGAGGUGCCAAUUCCGAUGUAGCAGUGAAAUGCGUAGAUAUACGGAAGUACCGAUGGCAGAAGGCAGCCUCCUGGAUCUUUGGCGCUCAUGCCCGAAGCGUGGGAGCAAACAGGAUUAAGAUACCCUGGUAGUCCACGCCCUAAACUUGAUGUCAACUAGCUGUUGGGGCCUUCGGGCCUUGGUAGCGCAACUAACGCGUGAAGUUGACCGCCUGGGAGGCCACGGUCGCAAGAUUAAAACUCAAAAUUGACGGGGGACCCGCACAAGCGGUGGAUGAUGUGGAUUAAUUCAAUUACAGCGAAAAACCUUACCUACCCUUGACAUGUCUGGAAUCCCGAAGAGAUUUGGGAGUGCUCGCAAGAGGCCGGAACACAGGUGCUGCAUGGCUGUCGUCAGCUCGUGUCGUGAGAUGUUGGGUUAAGUCCCGCAACGAUAGCCUUGUCAUUAGUUGCUACGAAAGGGCACUCUAAUGAGACUGCCGGUGACAAACCGGAGGAAGUGGGGAUGACGUCAAGUCCUCAUAGCCCUUAUGGGUAGGGCUUCACACGUCAUACAAUGGUCGGGACAGAGGGUCGCAACCCGCGAGAGGCCAAUCCCAGAAACCCGAUCGUAGUCCGGAUCGCAGUCUGCAACUCGACUGCGUGAAGUCGAGAUCGCUAGUAAUCGCGGAUCAGCAUGUCGCGGUGAAUACGUUCCCGGGUCUUGUACACACCGCCCGUCACACCAUGGGAGUGGUUUACCAGAAGUAGUUAACCGUAAGGAGGGCGAUUACAGCGGUAGGGAUUCAUGACUGGAACGAAGUCGUAACAAGGUAUUAGCUCUGUUACUGAUGCUCCCA
rnacentral:rRNA from 1 species